rnacentral:rRNA from 1 species
GACGGAAGGUGCAAGCGUUGCUCGGAAUCACUGGGCGUAAAGGGGGCGUAGGCGGCCGCGCAAGUCUGGCGUGAAAGCCCCGGGCUCAGCCCGGGAAGGGCGCUCGAAACGGCGCGGCUCGAGUGCCGGAGGGGAGAGUGGAAUUCCUGGUGUAGCAGUGAAAUGCGUAGAGAUCGGGAGGAACAUCAGUUGCGAAGGCGGCCACCUGGACCAGCACUGACACUGAGGCACGAAAGCGUGGGGAGCAAACAGG